rnacentral:snRNA from 1 species
AUGCUUACCUGGCAAGGAAGGUACCAUGAUCAUGAAGGUGAUUUUCCCAAGGUAAGGCUUAUCCAUUGCACUCCAGAUGUGCUGACCCCUGUGAUUUCCCCAAAUAUGGGAAAUCACUCCAAAAUUUGUGCCUC